GAGAAAGGCAGAGUUAAUAUGAUUCCUGGAAGAAUCAUUUACGCUUUGAUCACAGUCUGAACUGUGUGACCACGAAGGAAUAAGACUGUGUUUCACAUUCUUGCGUGGCGGCUUCAAGCUUUGAAUGCAGCUGGGCAAGGGACUGUCACCUUGGGACCAAGAGUAUCUCCAAUGUCACCAGAUUUCAGAGCAUGCUUCAAAAAUACCUUCACUUCAGGUCACUUAGGAAAAAAACAUGCCUUCUAAAAAGAAAAAAAAGUUACACUACUCCAGAGCUCCUACUCUUCUAUAAGGCACAAAUCACAUAUCAAUGAACACUCAGGUUUUAAACAAGAAUCCUAGGAAACCUAUACAUUUUCCAAUCACUUCUAAGAAAAAAAUAGGGUACUUUAUUUCCAAAUAAAGUAUUAUGAUUUUUUUUUUUUUUAAUUAGAAUAGAAAAGGCAACAUUCUUCUUGGAGAGACUUAAUUAAGUCCAGACUCCUCACCUGGAAAUUAAGCAACAGUCCAUGUUUACAGCAAAUGAGGCAGUUCUGCCAUAGAGUGGGUAAGACAGCGCUUUCUUGUGGAAGAGAAAAAUACCUUGUGAUCAUCGAUAACCCAACUAAGCCAGGGUGAAACAGGAGGUGGGCAGUGGUCCCAAGGCACCACACUGGGACUGGCUGAGGCUUGCCAGCUCCCCCCGCACAAGCCAGGAACAGUAUCUAAGCCUGGGGUUUGGAAGGCAUUUAAGAACAGGAACCGAAAUUCGGCUUUUCAUCUGUCUCCCGCAGCUGUCAGCCGGCGCGGAUUUACCCGGGGAGGGGUUGCCAUCUAAUGGCACAAACUGGAAGCAACGCAAAACGUUCAAAUACUUUGUAAUAAAGAGGGUCCUGACUAUGGAAGAACUGCUUGAGAAACCCAGGGAAACUGAUCUUUCUCUCCUCUAAUUCUUCUUAACACGAACUUCUGACCUGGAGGCCACUAAAGGAUCUAGAGGCACUUGAUUAGCUUCAAACAAUACAUUUUACCAGAACUAUGUUUCAGUGAAUUUGUUUGUACCAGUCAGAUCAAGACAACCUUGUAACCCAUCUGUGUAUACUGUGGCCAGUAAAAGUCAUGGGGAAUGAUUCUAGGAAUACAGGGGUUUAGGGACUUUCAUGGUUAGAGGCUGCAUUCAUCAAACUCAAUCAGGCCUUCAGUGAGAACAAAACUUGCACAAAACGUGUGAAACUCUACAUGACUUUUACUGGUGUGUGUGUGCAUGUAUGUUGUUGAUUUCCAGCUAAACGCUUGUAAAAAAAAUAAUAACAGAAGAACAAUAAUAAAAAUAAAAAUAAUAAAAAAAAC